CAAAACAAGAACCCUAAUAACACUAUCAAUCUUCACAUUUCUUGAUAACAAUAUACAUAAUUUAGCAAAACAAGAACACUAAUAACACUAUCAAUCCUCUCAUUUCUUGAUAACAAUAUACGAAAUUCAGCAAAACAAGAACCCUAAUAACACUAUCAAUCUUCUCAUUUCUUAAUAACAAUAUACAAAAUUCAGCAAAACAAGAAUAUUAAUAACAUUAUCAAUCUUCUCAUUUCUUGAUAACAAUAUACAAAAUUUAGCGAAACAAGAACACUAAUAACAUUAUCAAUCUUCUCAUUUCUUGGUAACAAUAUACAAAAUUUAGCAAAACAAGAACACUAAUAACACUGUCAAUCUUCACAUUUCCUGAUAACAAUAUACAACAUUUAGCAAAACAAGAACACUAAUAACACUAUCGAUCUUCUCAUUUCUUGAUAACAAUAUACAAAAUUUAGCAAAGCAAGAACACUAAUAACACUAUCAAUCUUCUCAUUUCUUGAUAACAAAAUAGAAAAUUUAGCAAAACAAGAACACUANUAAUAACACUAUCAAUCCUCUCAUUUCUUGAUAACAAUAUACAAAAUUUAGCAAAACAAGAACAUUAAUAACAUUAUCAAUCUUCUCAUUUCUUGAUAACAAUAUACAAAAGUUAGCGAAACAAGGAGACUAAUAACACUAUCAAUCAUCUCAUUUCUUAAUAAUAAUAUACAAAAUUUAGCAAAACAAGACCCCUAAUAACACUAUCAAUCUUCUCAUUUCUUGAUAACAAUAUACAAAAUUAAGCAAAACAAGAACACUAAUUACACUAUCAAUCUUAUCAUUUCUUGAUAACAACACACAAAAUUUAGCAAAACAAGAACACUAAUAACACUAUCAAUCUUCAUAUUUCUUGAUAACAAUAUACAAAAUUUAGCAAACCAAGAACACUAAUAACACUAUCAAUCCUCUCAUUUCUUGAUAACAAUAUACAAUAUUCAGCAAAACAAGAACCCUAAUAACACUAUCAAUCUUCUCAUUUCUUGAUAACAAUUUACAAAAUUCAGCAAAACAAGAACACUAAUAACACUAUCAAUCCUCUCAUUUCUUGAUAACAAUAUACAAAAUUUAGCAAAACAAGAACAUUAAUAACAUUAUCAAUCUUCUCAUUUCUUGAUAACACUUCUCUCUAGUAACAAUUACAAAUUUAGCAAAGAACACUUAAUAACUUAUCAAUCUUACUUCUGAUAACAUCACUAUUUAGCAAAACACACUUACAAUCAAUCUUCUAAUUUCUGAUACACAUACAAAAUUAGCCCAAAACAAAGACAUAUACACUAUCAUCUUCAUUUUUGGUACAAUAUACGUAUUAGCACAGAAAUAAUACCAUCUCCAUCCUUCUUUUUAGAUACAAUAAUACAAAAUUAACAAAGAACACUAUAACCUUCAUCCUGAUUCUAUAACAUAUACAAUAGAAACAAAAGUACGACUAAUUAACACUAUCAUUUCUCAUUUCUUGAAACAAUUACAAAUUUAGCCAACAAAGAACACUAAUAAACCUAUCAUCUUCAUUCUGAUACAAUAUACAAUUUAGGGAAACAAAGACGCUAGUCAUUGCUUACUCAUCUGAUACAAUAUACAAAUUGCAAAACAAACACUAAUAACUAUCAUCUUACAUUUCAUUGAUAACAUAUACUCAAAUCAGCAAACAAAGACACUACACACUAUCAAUCUUCUCAUUCAUUCGAACAUAUACCAAAUUCAGCAAACAGACAACUAAUAACACUAUCAUUCCUCAUAUUGAACAAGAACAAAUAGCAAACAAAAAGAAGAUUAAACAUUAUCCAUUUUCUCUUCUGAUACAAUACAAAAUUUAGACCAAAACAAGAACACUAUACCUAUUCAUCUUCUCAUUUUAAUCAAAAAAUAGAAUUAGCAAAACACACUAAACCUAUCAAUCAUCUCAUUUUGAUAACAAAUACAAAAUUGCAACAAACACAUAACCUACUCAUCUAUUCAUUUUGGAUCACAAUAUACAAAUUAGCAAACCAGGGGAGCACUAAUAAUUAUCAAUCCUCUAUUCUGUAAACAACUAUUUAGCAAACGCUAGACUAUCAUCUUUCAUUUCUAUAACUAUAAUUUAGCAAAACAAGAACCUAUCCCACUGUCAAUCCUCUCAUUUUUGUACAAAUAUCAAAAUUCGCAACCAGAACACUAAUACCAUCAUCUUCAUUUCUUGACACAACAAUUUAGCAACAGAACUAAUAAUAACGAUUAUCAAUUAUCUAUUCUGAUAACAAUACAAAUUAAGCGAACAAGAAAUAUACACUAUAAUUUCUCAUUCUUAUAACAUUACAAUUAGACAGACCUAAUAACACUACAUCUUUCAUUUCUUGUAACAUUACAAAUUUGCAAACAACACUAUAACAUCAAGUUCUCUUCUGAUGACAAUAUACAAAGUUUGCAAAGCGGGAGGAACUCCAACUGUGGCAGGUGUUCAUUUUUGGGGAGGUACAAAUAGUAGACAUUUGAGGCAACUGGAUAAUCAGGUAUCAUCUUUUCUGUAACAUAUACAAAUUUUAGCACAAGACGGGGACUUAACAUUCGCUUCAUUGUGGCGGGAACAAUAGGUAGGUUAGCAAACAUCGCUAAUGCACUAUCAAUUCCGUGGGUGUCUUGAUAAAUGGGUCAAUUAGCACGAAACACUAUCAUAUCAGAUCUUCAAUUGGUGAACAUGUAAUAAGGGUAGCAAACGAAGACUACACUUCAUCCUCUUUUUCUUGGAUCUGGCGUGGAUUGACAAGGUGUGAAGACAAAUACACUAUCAGGUUUCGUGGGGUUCUUGUAAAUUACAAAAUUGGUUGCGAACGAGGAACAUAACACUAUCAAUUUUCAUUUUGAUACUGAUAAAUUUAAGCCAGACAUAUCACUAUCUUCUAUUUGUCAAUAAAUUUAGAACGCUCAUUUUCAUUUCUUAGAUACAUUACAAUUAGCAAACAGAAAUUAAUCUUCAAUUCUUGUACAAUAUCAAAUCAGCAGACAAAUACCUUUUUUCUCUUCUUAUAUCAAAUUCGCACAAGACACUAUACCUAGCAUCCUAUUUCUUGUAAAAAUAUACAAAUUUAGCAAACAAGAACAUUAAUACAUUAUCAUCUUCAUUUCUUGAACAUAUACAAUUUAGUACAAACAGAACCAUAACCUAUCAAUCUUCUCAUUCUUAAUAACAUGAUUUGCUUUAACUAGACCUAAACUCAUCAUCUGCUUUGAUAAAGACAAAUUAGCAAACAGGACCUAUACUAGAUUUCUCAUUCUGUAAAUAUACAAUUUAGCAACGAAGAACCUAAAUAACAUUAUCUCUCUAUUUAUUUAACUAUACAUAUUAGCAAACAGCACUUCUCUUCUGAUUUUUAACAUUACAAAUGUGCAAACAAGACACUAAUACUUCAUCUUAUUUUUAGUAAGAUACAAUUCGCACAAGAACAUGGAAUCAUCAUCAUCUUCAUUUCUUGACUUACAAUUAGCCAAACAGGAAAUUAAUAACUUAUCAAUCUUCUCAUUUCUUGUAACAAUAUACAAAUUUAGCCGAACAGCAUAUAACGCUAUUCACUUUAUUUUUAACAUACAAAUUAGACAAGAACCUAAUAACACUUCAUUAUUCAUUGUCUUUAACAAUAUAAAAUUAGCAACAGAACACUAAACAUAUCAUCCUCUUUUGCUUGAACAAUAAUCAUAAUUUGCACAGAACAUACUUUCUCUUUCUUAUACUUCAAAUUAGCAAACAAACCUUACCUUCAUCCUUAUUUUGAUAACAAUAUACAAUUCGCAACAAACCUAACCUAUCAUCCUAUCAUUUAUUGCACAUAUACAUUUAGCAAACAGCUUAAUACUUAUCAAUCUUCUCAUUGCACAUAUACAAAUUAGCCGACAGAAUUAACCUAUCAUUUCAUUUCUUUACACAUCUACAGAUUUUAAGCACAAGACCUAAUACCAUAUCUCUUUUUCUUGUAACAUAUACAUCAACAGACCAUAAAUCAUUCUAUUUCUGAUCAUAUACUUGCAGGAAACAUAACACUGUCAUUUCUCUUUCUUAUAACAAAUGAAAUGGUUAGCACAAGAAUAAUAAGAUCAAUCUUCUAUUCUGUAAAAUCAAUUUAGCAAACAGCACUUAAUAUCAUCCUCUCUUCUUGUACAUCAUAAUUUAGCCACUACUAUAACAUACAUUUUCAUUUCUUGUACACUCAUUAGCAAACAGAACUAUCACUUCCAUUAUUUCUUGAACAUUUAAUGCAAACGAAGAUUAACCUCUCUCCUCUUUUCUGUAACAAUAUACAAAUUUACAAGAAACAUAAUAACUUCAAAUCUUCUGAUUUCUUGAUAAUAUACAAAUUUAGACAAAACAGACAUAUCGACUAUAUCUUAUUUCUUGAAACAUUAUACAAUUAGGCAACAGCCUAUACCUAUCAUCUUCUAUUUUUGUAAUUAAUUAGGAAAAAACAUAUCAUCUUUCAUUCUUGUACAAUAUAAAAUUAGCAAACAAAGCACAAUAAACCUCUAUUCAAUUCUUGUAACAUUACAAAUUCAGCAAACGAACAUAAUACAUAUCAUUGGCUCUUCUUGAUAACAAUAUACGAAUUCAGCAAACAGAACACUAAUAACAUUCAUCGUCCUCUCUUUCUUUGUAACAUUACAAUUAGCAAACAGACAUUAACAUUAUCAUUCUCAUUUACUGUAACAAUAUACAUUUGCAAACAGACCUAUCAUAUCUCUUCUCAUUUUUAAAUACAAAAUAGAAAAUUAGCAACAAGAUAAUAACACUAUCAAUAUCUCAUUUCUGUACAAGUACAAAAUUUAGCAACAAGACAUAUACACUAUCAAAUCUUCUUUUUCUGAUAACAUAUACGACUUAGCAACAAGAACACUAUUAUCACCUCUAUUCUGAUACUUACUUUGCAAAACAGAACCUCAAUUCUUUCUUUAUAACUGAAAAUAUUGCAAACAAAGAACAUAUACAUUCAUCUCUAUUCUGUACAUAUACAAAUUAGCAAACAGACACUAACACUUCAAUCUUCUUUUGAACAAUUCAAAAUUUGCAAAACAGCUUCUAAUUAUCAAAAUUUUCUUCUGAUAACAAUAUACAAAAUUCUAGGACGCAUAUCCUUCAUUUUCUUUACAUAUACAAAAUUUAGCAACAGAACUUACCUAUCUUUUAUUUCUUGUAAAGAAAAAUUAGCACAAACUAAUAACGCAAUCCAUUUUCUCAUUUCUGAAACAAUUACAAAUUUAGCCAAAGCAGAACUAUACUUCAAUCUUCUCUUUCUUAAUAAGCAAAUAGAAAUUGACAAGAACACUAUACUACAUCUUCCUUUCUUGAUACAUAUCAAAUUUAGUCGCAAACAAGCUAAUACUUAUCAAUCCUUCUUUCUUGAUCAAUCUAUAAAAUGUUUUUUAGGGGCAAAAACUACACUAUAACACUAUCCUUUCAUUCUUGAUAACAACAUACAAAUUUGAACAGAAACCUUAACCAUCUUCUUCAUUUCGAUCUUAAUAAUUUUCAACAAAACAAUAAUACACUUCAAUCCUCUCAUUUCUGAUAACAUAUACAAAUAACAAAGCAAGACACUAAUACACUUCAAUCUUCUGAUUUCUUGUAACAUAGUACAAAAUUUAGCAACAGACAUUAACACUAUCAAUAUUUUCUGUACAAUAUACAAUAAAUUAGCACAAGACAUAUAACACUAUCCAAUUUCUAUUCUGUACAAUAUACAAAUUUAGGGGAAACAAGAACACUACAAUCUUCUCAUCAUCUAACAAUAUACUAUAGCAAAACAGACCAUAAAAACUAUUCAAUCCUUCCACAUUGUUUGAUACAAUAUACAAAAUUCAGCAACAAACAUAUAACACUAUCAAUUUCUAUUCUGAAACAUAUCAAAUCAGAAAACCAGAACCACUAAAUCACAUAUCAUCUCUUCUUUCCUUGGAUACAAUAUACAAAAAUUGUAGCAACCAAGAAAGAAAACAUUAUGCUGAGGAGGUCUCUAUUGUGUCGGUGGGAGUGGACAUUACGAAAAUGGGUGGGCAAACAAGAACACUUGUAGGAUAACGCGUGUAUCAAAUCUUUCAUUUCUAGUGGAGGACAAUAAAAAUUAGGCAAGACGGGGCAGGACGGGGAGGGCGUAAUGGUGGCACUAUCAAUCGUGGGGGAUCUCAUUCUGUGGUAUGUGGGACAAAUACAAAUUUAGCAAAAACGAAGACGGGACGUAAUAACACAUCAAUGGUGUGGUAUUCUCGAGGUGGAGAAAUUUACAAAGUUGAGCAAACGGAGACACUAUACAUACAGGUUGUGUCUCUUCAUCUUGAUAACAUAUACUAUUUAGCAAAACAAGAACACUUCAAUCUUCUCAUAUUCUAAUAACAACUGUAUAACAAAUUUAAGCAAACAAUGAACACUAUAACAACUUAUCAAUCCUCUCGAUUUCUUGAUACACAAUAUACAAAAUUCAGCAGAAACAGAACAUAAUCAACACUAUCAUCCUCUCAUUUCUUGACAACAAAACAAUUUAGCAAAACAAGAACAUGUACUAACACUUAUCAAUCUUCUUCAAUUUCUUGAGAUACAAUAUACAAAAUUUAGCGAACAAGAAGAACACUUAAUUAACACGAUGCAAUUUUCAUUUCUUAAUACAACUAUACAAAAUUUAGCAACCAAGAACACUAAUACAACUAUCAUAUCUUCUCAUUUCUUGCAUACAAUAUACAAAUCUAGCACAAACGAGAACACUAAUAACACAAUCAAUUUUCUCAUUCUUGAUAAAAUAUACAAAAAUUUUAGCAAAGCAAGAACACUAAUAACACGUAUCCAAUCACUUCUCAUUUCUUAAUAACAAUAGAAAAUUUUAGCAAACAAGAACAACUUAUAACACUAGUCAAUGCUCUCAUUCGUUUGCAAACAAUUAUACAAAUUAUAGCCCACAAGACAAUAAUACAAUUAUCAUCCUCUCAUUUCCGAGCGGGGACACUACAUAAUUUAGCAAAAACAAUAACCUAAUAACACUAUCAGAUCUUCUCAUUCUUGAUAACAACAUACAAAUUUAGCAAACAAGAACAUAAUAACCUAUACGCUUCACAUUUCUUAGAUAACAAUAUCAUAAUUUAGCAAAAACUAAGACAAUAAGAACACUCUCAAUCCUCUCUUUUCUGAUAAACAAUAAUACAAAUUUAACAAAAGAGAACACUAAAUAACACUAUCAAUCUUGCUGAUUUCUUGAUAAACAAUAUACAAAUCUUGGCCCCACAACAAGAAAACACUAAUAACACAUCAAUCUUCUCAUUUAUGAUAGAUAAAUAAACAGAAAUAAAUACAUGACCCAUCUCUAUAUCAAAAACAAAGAUAGCAAAACGCAUUUCAAUUCACAUAAAAUAGAAACACAAUCACUCAUUCUUAACAUAUACAAAAUUUAAAAACCUAAUACUAUCAAUUCUUCUUGAUAACAUAUACAAAAUUUAGCAAAACAAGAACACUAAUAACUAAUCAAUCUUCACAUUUCUUGAUAACAAAACAAAAUUCUAGCAAACAGACAACCUAAUAACACUGAUCAAUCUUCUCAUUUCUUGAUCAACAAUAUACAAAUUAGCAAAACUAAGAACACUAAAUAACACUAUAAUCUUCUCAUUCUUAUAACUAAUACAAAAUUUAGCAAACAGAUUCCUAAUACACUAUCAUCUUCUCAUUUCUUGAUAACAUAUACAAAAUUUAGCAAACAAGACACUAAUACACUACAAUCUUCUCAUUUUCUGAUAACGAAUUAUCAAAUUUAGCAAAACAGAACACUAAUAACACGUAUCACUUCUCAUUUCUUGAUAACAAAUAAGAAAUUUCAAACAAGCACUAAUACACUAUCAUCUUCUCAUUUCUUGAUAACAAAUACAAAAUUAGCAAAACAAGAACACUACCAUAACACUAUCAAAUCCUCUCAUUUCUUGAUAACAAUAACGAUAAAUUUAGCCAAAACAAGAUACACUAUACUCAAUCAUCUCUCAUUGUCUUGAUAAGCAAUAUACAAAAUGUUGAGCAAAACAAAAAACAAUAAUAACACUAUCAAUCGCUCUCAUUUCUGACAACAAUAUACACAAUUCUAUGCACACAGAACCCUAAAACACUUAUCAUUUCUCAUUUUCUUGAUAACAAUAACAAAAUUCUAGCAAAAGAACACUAAUACACUAUAAGCAAUCUCUCAUUCCUUGAUAACAAUAUACCAAAAUUUACACAACAAAGAACAUCUAAUAAACAUAUCAUCUUCUCAUUUCUGAAACAAUAUAACACAAAUUUAGGAAACAAGCCGAACAACUAAUAAUACUAUCAAUCAUCUUUCUUUACUUCAACAUAUACAAAUAUUAGCAAAACAAGCACACAAUAACACUAUCGAUCUUCCUCAUUUCUUUGAUAACCAAUAUACAAAUUAGCUAAACAAGAACACUAAUAACACUUAUCAAUCGUCUUCAUUUCUUAGUAAACAUAUACAAAUUUAGUCAAUAACAAAAACUAAUAACACUAUCAAUUCUCUCAUUCUAAUAACAAUAAUACAAAAUUUAGCAAACAAGAACCUAAUACACUAUCAAUCUUCACAUUCUGUGGAUAACAAUAUACAAAAUUUAGCGAAACAAAGAACCACUAAUAACACAAUCAAUUUUCUCAUUUUGAUAACAAUAUCAAAGUUUAGCAAGCAAGAACACUAAAUACACUAUCAAUCUUCUGAUAUUCUGAUAACAUAUACACAAUUUAGCCAAACGAAGAAACAUUAUAACACUAUCAAUCUAUUCAUUCUUAAUACAUAUACAAAUAUUAGCAAACAAGAACACUAAUAACACUUCAAUCUUCUCAGUUUCUUCGUAACAUAUACAAAAUUUUAGGCAAAACAGAACGAUAAUAACCUCUCAAUCUUUCUAUUUCUUGUAACAAUAUACAAAAUUUAGGAAAACAAGAACACUAUCAAUCUUCUCAUUUCUUUAUAACAAAUAUACAAAUUUAGCAAACUCAAGCACUAAUUUAACUAUCAAUCUUCACGAUUUCUUGUAUAUAUACCAAAAUUCAGCAAAACAAGAACCCUAAUAACACUAUCAUCUUCUCCUUGAUAACAAUAUACAUAAUUUAGCAAAACAAGAACACUAAUACACUAUCAAUCCCUCUUCAUUUAUUUGAUACAAUGUACAGAAAUUUGAAUCAACAAGACAUUAAUAACACUAUCAUCUAUCUCAUUUCUUGAUAACAUAUACAAAAUCUAGAAAACAGAAGCACCUAAUACACUAUCAAUCUCUCAUUCGUGAUAACAAUAUUACAAAAUUCAGCAAAGCAAGAACACUAAUACACUAUCAAUCUCUCAUUUCUGAUAACAACAUACAAAAUUUAGCAAAACAGAACAUCUAAUAACAUUAUCAAUCUUCUCAUUCUUCUGAUAACAAUAUACCAAAAUUUAACAACAGAACACUAAUAACACUUAUCAAUUCUUCUCAUUUCUUGCAUACAAUAUACAAUAAUUGUAGCAGAAUACUUAAAAACACUAUCAACUUCUUCUUGCAUAAAAUUGCAAAAAGAAUAUAACCUUUAUUUCAUCUCUAACAUAUACAAAAUUUUUUAGCAAAACAAGAACACUAAUAACAUAUCAUCCUCUCGAUUUCUUGACUAAAAUUAUACAAAAAUUUCAAGCAAACAAGACAUAAUAACACUAUCAUCCUUCUCAUUUCUUGAAACAAUAUAACAAAUUUCAGCACCAAACAAAGAACAUAAUAACAUCUUCAAUCUCUCAUUUUUUGAAUACAAUAUACAAAAUUCUAGCGAAACAAGAACCUAAUAACACUAUCGAUUUUCCUGGCAUUUCUUGAAUAACAAUAUACAAAUUAGCAAAACAAGACCAUUAAUAACAUAUCAAUCUUCUCAUUGUCUUGAUACAAUAUACAAAAUUUGCGAAACAAGGACACUAAUAACACUACAAUCAUCUUUCUCAUUUAUCUUAUAACAAUUUAUACAAAAUUUAGCAAAACCAAGACCCUAAUAACCGAUCAAUCUUCUCAUUCCUUGAUAACAAUACAAAUUCAGCAACAAGAACCUGAAUACACUACUUCAUCUUCUCAUUUCUGAUCAACAAUAUACAAAUUUAGCAAAACAAGAGACACUAAUACACAUUCUAUCACUUUCAACUCUCAUUGCAUGACCUUUGGCUAACAAAAAGGAUACCCAAAUUUAGCAAACAACAAUACAAUAAUCACCAUUAUCCAACAUCUUCUCAUUUCUUGAUAACANACUAUCAAUCUUCUCAUUUCUUGAUAUAUACAAAAAUGUUAGCGGAAAACAAGAACACUAAUAACACUAUCAUCAUCUUCUCAUUUCUUACAUACAUAUAAUACAAAAUUUAGCAAAACAAGACACCUAAUAACACAUCAAUCUCUCAUAUUCUUGAUAACAUAUACAAAAUUAGCAAAACAAGAACCCUAAUAACACUAUCAAUCUUCUCAUUUCUUGAUAACAAUAUACAAAAUUCAGCAAAACAAGAGACACUAAUACAUUCACUCAAUCUCUCAUUUCUUGAUAUACAAGAUAUACACAAAUUUAGACAAAACAGCAAAUCAAAUUAAUCACAUUAUCACAUCUUCUCAUUUCUUGAUAUACAAAUUAUAAAUUACCUUCAAUUUCUCUUAUUUGUUCUUCCCUCUACCGCCUCCGGAUUGAUACUACUAGGUUUUUUACUAGCUUUGAAAGGAGAUCGGAAUAUUGCUCUAUUGGCAGUCGGAAAAAAUUUUUUUAUAAGCCAUCCUUCCUAUUUCCUUCAUGUCCAGAAUGAAUAAAUAUACAAGAAUGUUAGCAAAACUAGGAAAAAAAAAAGAACGACUAGAUUUUAACCUACUUUCUGUUUAAUCUUUUCUCAUCUUAUAACUAAUUUAAUAUAUAUAAAUUUAGAAUCGUGUGUUAGAGAAAAAAAAAAGAAAAAAAAAAGAUAUACUAAUUUAUACACUAUUUCUAUUUCAUUUCUUCAUGAUUUCUUGAUAAGAAAAAUACUCUAAAAUUUAGCAUUAAACUUAAGAAACACAACUAUAUAAUAUCUUAUUUCUUCACAUUUUCCUUUCGUUAACAAUUAGUGAAAAUAAUUUCUAAGGAAAAUAAGUGUAAAAGAGACGAAAAACGAAAAAAAAAAAAAAAAAGAGGAACGAGAAGAAACAUAAGAAGAAUAAAAACAACGAUAAAAAACUCUGAGGAUUUUCCUCUUUAAUAAGCUUCAGUUUGCGGUGUUAUGGAUACUAACCAUACAUAAUAAACGGUUUCACGCAAAUUAUCCGAUUUUUAUCAUCAGAGCAGAAACAUCAACGAGAACGCGAGCUAUGUUUUUGAAGAGAACACUUGGAAGUCUCUCUUGAUAACUGUGGUCGCUAUAAUAUAGUGAUAGGCGUUAUGUCUUAGGGACACGCUUGAGAGCAUCUAUGGUAUCAACUCGAAUCAAAGGAGUGAGAGAUAGUAAAUCAAGGAUUCAUAAAUCUACAAUAACACUUAUGUGUUUUGUCUUGUCGAAAACUAGAGGAUUGGAUCAUUUUCUUCUCGGUGGUCUUUAUACAAAUCAAUAGUCAACUUUAGAUUAAUAAAUAUCUUACCAUUAUUUCCUUCAGCUUAUUAGAAUUUGGUGGUGUGGACGUUACUCCUUAAGCUACAGAUAGGGAAUCGAAAUUGAAUAAAACAGGGGAGGUGGGGUAGCAGAAUUUAGGGCAUUAAAGCGGAAGGGAAGGUGGACGAGGACUGAGGCUGGGGAGAUAGACACGGGUGGAAUGCGAGAGGUCCUCUCAUGAUGUGCGGAGUUGAUAACAAAAGUGGAUACAGAGAGCAAGGUUCGGUAACCGACCUAAACAAAUCUUUGUUGAUUGUUCUCUCUUUUCAUAUAAUCUGGCUAAGUUUGCAUAAAUUGAAGUCUGAUAGUUUGGUGAAUUAAUAGUAAAACUUUUAAUCACUACCACUUACAUUGUGUGCAAUUUAAAGAUUGUAAUCAGAACAUAUUAAAUUGGUAUGCAAGCAUUCACUUUCGAUUGCAGAAUCCUAUAAGGAAAAAUUCAUGGCACUCAGUUAAUUGAUGAAUAGAAUAAAAUUGAGAACUUAGGGUUGGAGUGCACACAAGUGAUUAUUCAUAUAAAUGGAUUAUUCAGCUUAAGAGUCGAUUAAUGAUAACAAACAUAAAUAACAACCUCUUCACCCACUAAUCAAUAGCUCUUCUGUUCUCAAUUAUUUCACUUAUUCUCUUAUGUGUCUAUCCAUUAGCAUGAGGACACAUACUCCAAAGGAUUGUUGUAAAUUAAUUGAUAUGCAUUUAAUUUUUAAAAUAGUUCGUUAGAUUAUAUCUCUUUUAGAUCAGUCUCCCAUUAUGGUUUACACAGCAAUCUCCGAUCUUUCUACUAACGGAACGUUUUAAGAAACAAGAACACUAAUAAAACUAUCAAUCUUCUCAAUUCUUAAUAACAAUAUACAAAAUUUAGCAAAACAAGAACACUAAUAACACUAUCAAUCUUCUCAUUUCUUGAUAACAAUAUACAAAAUUUAACAAAACAAGAACACUAAUAACACUGUCAAUCUUCUCAUUUCUUGAUAACAAUAUACAAAAUUUAGCAAAACAAGAACACUAUCAAUCUUCUCAUUUUUUGAUAACAAUAAAGAAAAUUUAGCAAAACAAGAACACUAAUAACACUAUCCAUCCUUUCAUUUCUUGAUAACAAUAUACAAAAUUCAGCAAAACAAGAACCCUAAUAACACUAUCAAUCUUCUCAUUUCUUGAUAACAAUAUACAAAAUUCAGCAAAACAAGAACACUAAUAACAGUAUCAAUCCUCUCAUUUCUUGAUUACAAUAUACAAAAUUUAGCAAAACAAGAACAUUAAUAACAUUAUCAAUCUUCUCAUUUCUUGAUAACAAUAUACAAAAUUUAGCGAAACAAGAACACUACUAACACUAAAUCAAUCUUCUCAUUUCUUUUAAUAAACAAUAUACAAAAUUUAGCAAAACAAGAACACUAAUAACAUCUAAUCAAAUCUUCUCAAUUUCUGAUGUAACAAUAUACAAAAUUUAGCAAACCAAGAACAUAAUAACACUAUCAAUCUCUCAUCAUUUCUUGAUAAACAAUAUACAAAUUUUAUGCAAAACAAGAAACACUAAUAAACACUAUCAAUCUUUCCAUUUCUUGAUAACAAUAUACAAAAUUUAGCGAAACAAGAACAAUAAUAACACUACACAAUCUUUAUUCUGAAUAAACAAUAUACAAAAUUUAGCAAAACAAGAACCAUCUAAUAAGCAUUCUAUCAAAUCUUCUCAUUUCUUGAUAACAAUAUACAAAAUUUAGCAAACUAGAUACACUAAUACACUAUCAAUCUUUCUCAUUUCUUUGAUAACAAUAUAUCUACUAAAUAUUAGCAAAAACAAGAACACUAAUAACAAAUGUAUCAAUCCUCUCAUUUCUUAAUAACAAUCUAAAUAAAAUUUAGCAAACAAGACAAUAACACUUCAAUCCUCUCAUUCUGAUAACAAACAUAUAACAAACAAACACUAAUCACUAUCAAUCUUCUGCAUUUCUUGAUGAACAUAUACAAAAUUUUAGCAAAACAAGACACUAAUAACACAUAUCAAUCUUCUCAUUUUUGAUAACAAUAUACAAAUUAAAAAAAACCAAGAACACUAAUAACACUAUCAAUCUUCUCAUUUCUUAUAACAAUGAUACUAAAAUUUAGCAAAACAAGAACACUAAUAACACAUAUCAAUCUUCUGACUUUCUUGAUAACAAUAUAAAAAAAUUUAGCAGAAACAGAACACUAAUAAACUAUCAAUCUUCUCAUUUUCCUUAAUAACAAUAUACAAAUUUAAAAACAAGAACACUAAAUAACACUAUCAAUCUUCAUUUCUUGAUAAACAAUAUCAAAAUUAGCAAAACAACAUUAAUAACACUAGUCAUCUCUCAUUUCUUGAUACAAUAUACAAAUUUAGAAAAACAAGAACACUAUACACUAUCAUCUUCUCAAAUUUUCUUGAUAACAAUAUACAGAAAUUUAGCCAAUAACAAGAACACUAAUAACACUAUCAUCUCUCAUUUCUUGAUACAAUAUAUCAAAAUUCGCAAUACAAAGAAACUAUAACACUAUCAACUUCUCAUUCUUGAUAACAAUAUACAAAUUAGGCAAACACAAAACACUAAUAACACCUAUCAAUCUCUCAUUUCUUGAUAACAUAUACAAAAUUUAGCAAAACAAGAACAUAUAACAUUAUCCAUCUUCUCAUUUCUUGAUAACAAUAUACAAAUUUACGAAACAAGAACACUAAUAACACUAUCAAUCUUCCUCAUUUUUGAAUCAACAAUAUACAAAAUUUAGCAAAACAAGAAACUAAUAACACUAUCAAUCUUUCUCAUUUCUUGAUAAAAUAUACAAUUUAGCAAAAACAGAAGCACUAAUAACACUAUCAAUUGUCCUCAUUUUCUUUGAUAACAAAUACAAAAUUUAGCAAAAACAAGAACACUAUAACACUAUCAAUCUUCCAUUUCUUGAUAACAAAUACAAAUUUAGCAAAACAAGAACAAUAAUAACACUUCAAUCUUCUUUCCUUGAUAACAAUAUACAAAAUCUAGCAAAAAAGAACACUAAUAACACUAUCAAUCUUCUGUUCUUUUGAUAACAAUAUACAAAUUUGCAAAACAGAGAACACUAAUAACACUUCAUCUUCUCAUUUUUCAUAACAAUAUACAAAUUUACAAACAAGAACAUAAUAACAUAUCUAUCUUCUCAAUUUUCUUUGAUAACAAUAUACAAAUUUAGCAAAACAAGAACAUAAUAACACUAUCAAUCUUCUCAUUUCUGAUAACAAUAUACAAAAUUUAGCAAAACAAGAACAAAUAACAUAUCAAUCUUCUAUUUCUUGAUAACAAUAUACAAAUUUAGCAAAACAAGAACACUAAUAACACAAAUCUUCUCAUUCUUGAUAAAUAUACAAAAUUUAGCAAAACAAGAAACACUAAUAACAUUAUCAAUUCUCUCAUUUCUUAAUAACAAUACAUAAUUUAGCAAACAAGAACAUAAUAACACUGCUUCAUCUCUCAUUCUUGAUAACAAUAUACAAAAUAUAGCAAAACCAGAAACACUAAUACACUCAUCAAUCUUCUCAUUUCUUGAUAACAAUAUACAAAAUUUGCAACAGAACAUAAUACACUAUCAAUCUUCUCAUUUCUUGAUUAACAUAUACAAAAUUUAAAAAAAAACAAGAACACUAAUAACACUAUAUCUCUCAUUUCUUGAUAACAAUAAUACAAAAUUUAGCAAAACAAGACACUAAUAACAUUCAAUCUUCUCAUUUCUUGAUAAACAAUAUAAAAAAUUUAGCAAAACAAGAACAUAAUAACUAUCAAUCUUCUCAUUUCUUAAACAAUAUACAAAAUUUAGAAAAACAGAACACUAAUAACAUAUCAUCUUCUCAUUUCUUGAUAACAAUAUACAAAUUUAGCAACAAGAACACUAAUAACACUUCAAUCUUCUCAUUUUUGAUAACAAUAUACAAAAUUUAGCAAAACAAGAACACUAUCAAUCUUCUCAUUUUUGAUAACAAUAUACAAAAUUUAGCAAAACAAGAACACUAAUAACACUAUCAUCUCUCAUUUCUGAUAACAAUAUACAAAAUUCAGAACAAACAAGAAGCUUCAUUCUUGAUAACAACUAUCAUUCCAACAAGACAUAUCAUUCCAUGUCUGAUAAAUGAAAAUUUCUAAGCAAAUCAAGACACAAUAAACAUCCACUACAUUUGAACAAUUUUACGAACAAGAAAUGAUACACUCUCCAAUUCUCAUUCUGAUAACAAUAUACAAAUUUAGAAAACAAGAACUUAUCAAUCCUCUCAUUUCUUGAUAACAAUAUACAUAAUUUAGCAAAACAAGAACACUAAUAACACUAUCAAUCUUCUCAUUUCUUGAUAACAAUAUACAAAAUUUAGAAAAACAAGAACACUAAUAACACUAUCAAUCUUCACAUUUCUUGAUAACAAUAUACAUAAUUUAGCAAAACAAGAACAAUAAUAACACUCUCAGUCCUCUUUUUUCUUGAUAAUAAUAUACAAAAUUUAACAAAAGAAGAACACUAAUAACACUAUCAAUCUUCUGAUUUCUUGAUAACACUAUACAAAAUUUAGCAAAACAAGAACACUAAUAACACUGUCAAUCUUCUCAUUUCUUGAUAACAAUAUACAAAAUUUAGCAAAACAAGAACACUAUUAAUCUUCUCAUUUUUUGAUAACAAUUUACAAAAUUUAGCAAAACAAGAACACUAAUAACACUAUCCAUCCUCUCAUUUCUUGAUAACAAUAUACAAAAUUCAGCAAAACAAGAACCCUAAUAACACUAUCAAUCUUCUCAUUUCUUGAUAACAAAAUUUAGCACAAACAAGAACACUAAUAAACACUAUCAAUCUUUCUUGAUAACAAUAUACAAAAUUCAGCAAAACAAGAACACUAAUAACACUAUCAAUCUUCUCAUUUCUUGAUAACAAUAUACAAAAUUCAGCAAAACAAGAACACUAAUAACACUAUCAAUCCUGUCAUUUCUUGAUAACAAUAUACAAAAUUUAGCAAACCAAGAACAUUAAUAACAUUAUCAAUCUUCUCAUUUCUUGAUAACAAUAUACAAAAUUUAGCAAAAUAAGAACACUAAUAACACUAUCAAUCUUCUUAUUUCUUGAUAACAAUAUACAAAAUUUAGCAAAGCAAGAACACUAAUAACACUAUCAAUCUUCUCAUUUCUUGAUAACAAAAUAGAAAAUUUAGCAAAACAAGAACACUAAUAACAAUAUCAAUCCUCUCAUUUCUUGAUAACAAUAUACAUAAUUUAGCUAAACAAGAACACUAUCAAUCUUCUCAUUUCUUGAUAACAAUAUACAAAAUUUAGCAAAACAAGAACACUAAUAACACUAUCAAUCCUCUCAUUUCUUAAUAACAAUAUACAAAAUUCAGCAAAACAAGAACCCUAAUAACACUAUCAAUCUUCUCAUUUCUUGAUAACAAUAUACAAAAUUCAGCAAAACAAGAACACUAAUAACACUAUCAAUCCUCUCAUUUCUUGAUAACAAUAUAAAAAGUUUAGCAAACAAGAACACAAUAACACUAUCAAUCUUCUCAUUUCUUAAUACAAAUAUAGAAAAUUUAGCAAAACAAGAACACUAAUAACACUAAUCAAUCUCUCUCUUUCUUAGAUAACAAUAUACACAAAUUUUAGCAAAACAAGAACACUAAUAACAUUAUCAAUCUUCUCAUUUCUGAUAACAAUUAGACAAAUUUAGCAAAACAAGAACACUAUAUAACACUAUCAAUCUUUCUCAUUUCUUGAUAACAAUAUACAAAAUUAUAAAAACAGAAACACUAAUAACACUAUCAAUCUUCUCAUUUCUUGAUAACAAUAUAACAAAAUUUAGCAAAACAAGAACACUAAUAACACUAUCAAUCUUCUCAUUUCUUGAUAAAAAUAGCAAAAUUAGCAAAACAAGACACUAUAACAACUAUCAAUCUUCUCAUUUCUUAAUAACAAUAUACAAAUUUAGCAAAAAGAACACUAAUAACACUAUCAAUCUUUCCAUUUCUUGAUAACAAUAUACAAAAUUGCAAAACAAGAACACUAAUAACACUCAAUUCUUCUCAUUUCUUGAUAACAAUAUACAAAAUUUAGCAAAACAAGAACACUAUCAAUCUUCUCAUUUCUUGAUAACAAUAUACAAAAUUUAGCAAACAAGAAACACUAAUAACACUAUCAUCUCUCAUUUCUUGAUAACAAUAUACAAAAUUCAGCAAAACAAGAACCUAAUAACAUAUCAAUCUUCUCAUUUCUUGAUAACAAUAUACAAAAUUCAGCAAAACAAGAACAUAAUAACUAUCAAUCCUCUCAUUCUUGACAACAAUAUACAAAAUUAAGGCAAAACAAGAACAUUAAUAACAUUAUCAAUCUUCUCAUUUCUUGAUAACAAUAUACAAAAUUUAGCGAAACAAGAACACUAAUAACACUAUCAAUCUUCUCUUUUUUCUUAAUAACAAUAUACAAAAUUUAGCAAAACAAGAACACUAAUAACACUAUCAAUCUUCUCAUUUCUUGAUAACAAUAUACAAAAUUUAGCAAAAACAAGAACACUAAUAAACACAUCAAUCUUCUCAUUUCUUGAUAACAAUAUACAAAAUUUAGCAAAGCAAAGAACACUAAUAACACUAUCAAUCUUCUCAUUCUUGAAUAACAAAAUAGAAAAUUUAGGCAAAACAAGAACACUAAUAACAUCAAUCCUUCAUUUCUUGAUAACAAUAUACAAAUUUAGCAAAACAAACACUAAUAACAUAUCAACCUCAUUUCUUGAUAACAAUAUACAAAAUUUGCAAAACAAGAACACUAUAUUAACACUAUCAAUUUCUCAUUUCUUAAUAACAAUAUACAAAAUUUAGCAAAAAAAACAAAACAUAAUAACACUAUCAAUCUCUCAUUUCUUGAUAACAUAUACAAAAUUUGGCAAAACAAGAACACUAAUAACACUAUCAAUGCUUCUUCAUUUCUUGAUAACAAAUAUACAAAUUUAAAAACAAGAACACUAUAACAACUAUCAAUCUUCUCAUUUCUUGAUAACAAUAUACAAAAUUUAGCAAAACAAGAAACUAAUAACACUAUCAAUCUUCUCAUUUCUUGAUAACAAUAUCAAAAUUUAGCAAAACAAGAACACUAUAACACUAUCAAUCUUCUCAUUUCUUAAUAACAAUAUACAAAAUUUAGCAAAACAAGAACACUAAUAACACUAUCAAUCUCUCAUUUCUUGAUAACAAUAUACAAAAUUUAGCAAAACAAGAACACUAAUAACACUUCAAUCUUCUCAUUUCUUGAUAACAAUAUACAAAAUUUAGCAAACAAGAACACUAAAACACUAUCAAUCUUCUCAUUUCUUGAUAACAAUAUAAAUUUAGCAAAACAAGAACACUAAUAACAACAUCUCAUCCUCUAUUUCUGAUAACAAUAUACAAAAUUCAGCAAACAAGAACCCUAAUAACACUAUCAAUCUUCUCAUUUCUUGAUAACAAUAUACAAAAUUCAGAAACAAGAACACUAAUAACACUAUCAAUCUUCUCAUUUCUUGAUAACAAUAUAAAAUUUAGCAAAAACAAGAACAUUAAUAACAUUAUCAUCUUCUCAUUUCUUGAUACAAUAUACAAAAUUUAGCAAAAAAGAACACUAAUAACACUAUCAAUCUUCUCAUUUCUUGAUAACAAUAUACAAAAUUUAGCAAACAAGAAACUAAAACACUAAUAAUCUCUCAUUUCUUGAUAACAAUAUACAAAAAUUAUAGAAAACAAGAACACUAUCAAUCUUCCUCAUUUUUUGAUAACAAUAUCAAAAUUUAGCAAAACAGAACACUAAAACACUAUCUCUUCUCAUUUCUUGAUAACAAUAUACAAUUCGCAAAACAAGAACACUAAUAACACUAUCAAUCUUCUCAUUUCUUGAUAACAAUAUACAAAAUUUAGCAAAACAAGAACACUAAUAACACUAUCAAUCCUCUCAUUUCUUGACAACAAUAUACAAAAUUUAGCAAAACAAGAACAUUAAUAAACUAUCAAUCUUCUCAUUCUUAUAACAAUAUACAAAAUUUAAGCGAAACAAGAACACUAAUAACACUAUCAAUCUUCUCAUUUCUAUAAUAACGAAUAUACAAAAUUUAGCAAAAAAGAAAACACUAAUAACACUAUCAAUCUUCUCAUUUCUUGAUAACAAUAUACAAAAUUACAAAACAGAACAACUAAUAACACAUCAAUUUUCUCAUUUCUUGAUAACAUAUACAAAAUUUAGCCAAAAGCAAGAAACACUAAUAAACUAUCAAUCUUCUCAUUUCUUAAUAACAAUAAUAGAAAAUUUAGCAAAACAAGAAACACUAAAACACUAUCAAUCAUCUCAUUUCUUAAUAAACAAUACANNNNNNNNNNNNNNNNNNNNNGGCAAAAAAAGAAGGGAGAGGAGGGAGGAGUAGAGGGAAUAUAUAUCUGCAACAUACAGCCAGGAGAGUAUUAUAUUUAAUUUUAAUAUAGAGAGAAUUCACACACAUUACAGUAAGUAACUCAAUAUAUAUAAAUUAACAACAUCUCUAUAUGUAUUAUAAUAUACACAUAUAAUCUAUAUAUUAUCUCAAUCUAGUAUCACUAAUUAGAUAUCACUUAGAUCACAUACACCUUAUAACUCACAAAAAGAAUAUUUUAUAUAUAUAGCGCGAGAGAUAUAUAUACCACUCACUAGAAAAUACACAAAUCACAAAUUAUGACACCACUAUAUUCUUUCACAAAUGAGUUGACAUUAUAUAUAUAAAUACUAAAUAUUGUGUAGCAACAAUGAUAUAAUACUCACGCUUAUAAAUAACAUCUAUAGUAAGAAAGAAGAAAUAUUUAUGAAUAAACAAUCAUUGCUAUAUAAUAAUGAGAGAGUGCACAACACAUAAUAUAGGAACAUCAAUAUAGUAACAACAUAAUUCGGAUUAUGUCUCUCUCUAUAUGCUCAUAAUUUAUGCGUAUUAGAUAUAAAAAUAAUACAAAUAGCUUCUCACAUGCAAUAAAUGCAGGAUCACAAAUAUAUAUUAACACUAGUAAUCACAAACUUACUUACUCAUUUUUCUUGAAUAACUAAAUAUAUAACUUUUAAAGCACAUAACCACACGUAUAUUCACCUAAUAAACACUAUCAAUCUCUCAUUUCUUGAUAACAAUAUACAAAAUUUAGCAAAAACAAGAAACAACUAUAAUAACAUUAUCAAUUCGCUCUCAUUUCUUGAAAACAAUAUACAUAAUUUAGCAAAACAAGAACAAUAAAACACUCUCAAUCCUCUCAUUUCUUAAUACAAUAUACAAAAUUUAAGAAAAAGAAGAAACACUAAUAACACUAUCAAUCUCUGAUUUCUUGAUAACAAUAACAAAAUUAGCAAAACAAGAACACUAAUAACACUAUCAAUCUUCUCAUUUUCUUAUAACAAUAUACCAAAAUUUAAGCAAAACAAGAAACACUAAUAACACUAUCAAUCUUCUCAUUUCUUGAUAACAAUAUACAAAAUUUAGCAAAACAAGAACACUAAUAAACACUAUCAAUCUUCUCAAUUCUUGAUAACAAUAUACAAAAUUAAAAAAACAAAAGAACACUAAUAACACUAAUCAAUCUUCUCAUUUCUUGAUAACAAAUAUACAAUUUAAAAAACAAGAACACUAAUAACACUAUCAAUCUCUCAUUUCUUGAUAACAAUACUACAAAUUGCAAAACAAGAACACUAAUAACACUCAAUCUUCUCAUUUCUUAUAACAAUAAAAAAUUUAGCAAACAAGAACACUAAUAACACUAUCAAUCUUCUAUUUCUUGAUAAACAAUAUAAAAAAUUUAGCAAAAUAAAAACACUAAUAACACUAUCAAUCUUCUCAUUUCUUGAUAACAAUAUAAAAAAUUUAGCAAAAACAGAGACACUAAUAACACUAUCAAUCUUCUCAUUUCUUGAUAACAAUAUACAAAAUUUAGCAAAACAAAGAACACUAAUAAAACUAUCAAUCUUCUCAUUUCUUGAAUAACAAAUACAGAAUUUUAGCAAAACAAAGAACACUAAUAACACUAUCAAUCCUCUCAUUUCUUGAUACCAAUAUACAAAUUUAGCAAAACAAGAACACUAAUAAACUAUCAAUCUCUCAAUGUUCUUGAUAAUACAAUAUAUAAAUUUAGCACAAACAAGAACACUAAUAAACACUAUCAAUCUCUCAUUUCUUGAUAACAAUUACAAAUUUAGCAAAACAAGAACGUACUAAUAACACUAUCAAUCCUCAUUUCUUGAUAACAAUAUACAAAUUAGGAAACAAGAACACUAAUAACACUAUCAAUCUUAAUUUCUUGAUAACAAUAUACAAAAUUAGCAAAACAAGAACACUAAUAACACUAUCAUCUUCUCAAUUUCUUGAUAACAAAUAAUACAAAAAUUUAGCAAACAAGAACACUAAUAACACUAUCAAUCUUCUAAUUUCUUGAUAACAAUAUACAAAAUUUAGGAAAAAAGACAUGAUAACAUAUCAAUCUUCUCAUUCUUUUGAUAACAAAAUACAAAUUUAAGCAAAGCAAAGAACACUAAUAAAACUUCAAUUUCUCAUUUCUUGAUAACAAAAUAGAAAAAUUUUAGCAAAACAAGAACACAAAUUACUAUCAUCUUCUCAUUUCUUGAUAACAAUAUAUCAAAAUUAGCAAAACAAGAACAGCUAUAACAUUAAUGCAAUCCUCUCAUUUCUUGAUAACAAUAUACAUAAUUAGCAAAAACCAAGAAACACUAAUCAUCUUCUCAUUUCUUGAUAAUAAUAUACCCAAAAUUUAGCAAAACAGAACCAAUAACACUAUCGAUCCUCUCCCUUUCUUGAUAACAAAUAAAGUACGAAAUUCAGCAAAAAAGAACGCUAAUAACUACUAUCAGAUCUUCUCAUUUCUUGAUAACAAUAUACAAAAUUCAGCAAAACAAGAACACUAAUAACAUUAUCAAUCCUCUCAUUCUUGAUCAACAAAUAUAACAAAAUUUAGCAAAACAAGAACAUUAAUAACAUUAUCAAAUCUUUCCAUUUCUUGAUAACAAUAUAGAAAAUUUAGGCGAAACAAGAACACUAUAACACUAUCAAUCAUCCUUUCAUUUCUAAUAAUAAUAUAAAAUUUAGCAAAACAAGAACAACUAAAUAACACGUCAAAUCUUCACAUUUCUUGAUAAACAAUAUACAAAAUUUAGCAAAACAAGAACACUAAUAACACUAAUCGAUCUUCUCAUUUUCUUGAUAACAAUAUACAAAAUUUAAAGCAAAGCAAGACCACUAAUAACACUAUCCAAGCUUCUCAUUUCUUGAUAACAAAAUAGAAAAUUUAGCAAAACAAGAACACCUGAAUACACUAUCAUCCUUCUCAUCUCUUGAUAACAGUAUAUCAAAACUUUAGCAAAACAAGAACACUAAUAACAUUAUCAAUCCUCUCAUUUUCUUGAUAACAAUAUACAUAAUUUAGCAAAACCAAAACAAUAUACAACACUCUCAAUCCUCUCAUUUCUUAAUAACAAUAUACAAAAUUUAAGAAAAGAAGAACACUAAUGACACUAAUCAAUCUUCUGAUUUCUGAUAAACAAUCUACAAAAUAUAGCAAAACAAAGAACAUAAUAACACUAUGCAAAUCUUCUCAAUUUCUCAUAACAAUUAACAAAAUUUAGCAAAACAAAACACUAAAUAACACUAUCAUCUUCUCAUUUUUUGUACAAUAUAACAAAUUUAGCAAAACAAAGAACACUAAUAACACUAAUCAAUGCUUCUCAUUUCUUGAUACAAUAUACAAAAUUUUAGGCAAAACAAGAAACUAUAACACUAUCAAUCUUUCUCUAUUUCUUGAUAACAAUAUACAAAAUUUUUAAAAAAUAACAAGAACACAAUAACACUAUCAAUUUCUCAUUUCUCCUUGAUAACAAUAUACAAAAUUUAGCAAAACAAAAACACUAAUAACACUAUCAAUCUUCUAAUUUCUUGAUAAGCAAAUAUAAUCAAAAUUUUAGCAAAACAAUAACACUAAUACACUAUCAAUCUUCUCAUUUCUUUCUUGAUAACAAUAUACAAAACUUAAAAAAACAAAGAACACUAAUAAACACUACAUCUUCUCAUUUUUGAUAACAAAUUUACAAAACUUUAAAAAAACAAAAAACUAAUAACACUAUCAAUCUUCUCAUUUCUGAUAACAUAGAUAAAAUUUUGCAAAAACAACGAACACUAAUAACUACUGUCACUCUUCUCAUUUCUGAUAAACAAUAUACAAAAUUUAGCAAAACAAGAACACUAAUAACACUAUCAAUCUUCUGAUUUUCUUGAUAACAAUUUAUACAUAAUUUUGGCCAAAUAAAAACCUAAUAACACUAUAAAUCUCUUCAUUUCUUGAUAACGAUAUAAAAACUUAGCAAAAACAAGGACACUAAUAACACUAUCAAUCUUCACUUUCCUUGAUAUACAAUGAUACAAAAUUUAGCAAAACAGAAACACUAAUACAAAAACUAUCAAUCUUCUCAUUUCUUGAUAACAAUAACAGAAUUUUGCAAAACAAGAACAUUGAUAAACUAUCAAUCCUCUCAUUUCUUGAUAACAAUAUAACAAGAAUUUAGCCAAAAAAAGAACACUAAUAAACUCUAAUCCUCCAAUUUCUUGAUAAUAAUAUCAUAAAAUUUUAGCAAAACAAGAAACCAUAACACUAUCAAUCCUCUCAUUUAUUGAUAACAAUGUAACAGAAUUUAUCAAAGAACAAGAACACUAUAACACUUAUCAAUCCUCUUCAUUUCUGAUAACAAUUAGCAAAUUGCAGUAACAAAACAAGAAUACUAAUAUACUACUCUCAUCUUCUUCAUUUCUGAUAUACUAUAUUAUCAUAAAUUCAGCAAAACAUAGAACACUAUAACACUAUCAUCCUCUCAAUUUCUUGAAUAACAACAUACAAAAUUUAGCAAAACAAGAACAUUAAUAACAUUUAUCAAGUCUUCUCAUUUCCUUGAUAACAAUACUACAAAAUUUAGCAAAAACAAGAACACUAAUAACGAAUUUUCAAUUCUUUUUCAAUUUCCUUGAUUAACAAUAUACAAAAUUUAGCAGAAGCAAGAACAGACUAAUAAACUGAUCAAUCUUCUCAUCUUCUGAUAACAAAAAUAGAAAAUUUAGCAAAACAGAAGAAACACUAAUAACACUAAUCAUUCCUUCUCAUUUUCUUGAUAACAAUAUACAAAAAUUUAGCAAAACAGAACACUAAUAACAAUUAUCAUCCAAUCAUUUUCUUGAUAACAAUAUAUCAAAAUUUAGCAAACAAAAACAACUAAUAACACAAUCAAUCCUCCUCAUUUUCUUGAUUUAACAAUAUACAAAAUUCAGCAAAACAAGAACAGCCUAAUAACACUAUCAAUCUUUCAAUUUCUUAAUAACAAUAUACAAUUCAGCAAAACAAGAACACUAAUAACACUAUAUCCUCGUCAAUUUUCUUGAUAACAAUAUACAAUUUAAGCAAAAACAAGAACAUUAAUAACAUUAUCAAUCUUCUCAUUUCUUGAUAACAAUAUACCAAGUUAAGCAAAACAAGGACACUAAUAACACUAUCAAUCAUCUCAUUUCUUAAUAAUAAUAAUAUCAAAAUUUAGCAAAACAAGACCACUAAUAAACUAUGCAAUCUUCUCAUUUCUUGAUAACAAUAUAACAAAAUUUAAGCAAAACCCAAGAACACUCAUUAACACUAUCAUCUUCUCAUUUCUUGAUAACAACAUAACAAAUUACAAACCCAAGAACACUAAUAACACUAUCAAUCUCACAUUCUUGAUAAGCAAAUAUACAAAAUUUAGCAAACAAGAACAUUAAUAAACUAUCAAUCCUCUCAUUUCUUGAAUAACAAUAUACAAAUAUUCAGCAAAACAAGAACCUAAUAACAACUAUCAAUCUUCUCAUUUCUUGAAUAACAAUAUAAACUAAAAUUCAGCAAGAAGCAAGAACACUAAUAACCACUGUCAAUCCUCUCAAUUUCUGAUAACAAUUCAAAUUAAGCAAAACAAGAAAUAUUAAUAACAUAUCAAUCUUCUCAUUCUUAUAACAAUAUACAAGAAUUUGGCGAAACAAGGAACACCUAAUAACACAGAAUCAAUCAUCGUCAUUUUUAAUAAUAAUAUACAAAAUUUAGCACCACAAGAACACGUAAUAACACUACAAUCUUCUCAUCUUGAAUAACAAUAGUAUAAAUUAGCAAAACAAAGAAUAACUAAUAACGACUAUCACUCUUCGUCUUUCUUGAUAAGAAAAUACAAAAGUUUUAGCAAAACAAGAACAGCUAAUAACACUUUAUCGAAUCUUCACAUUUCUUGAUAACAAUAUACAAAAUUUAGGCAAAACCAAGAACACUAAUAACACUAUCAAUCCUCAUCAUUUCUUGAUAACAAUAUACGAAAUUCAGCAAACAAGAACCUAAUACACUAUCAAUCUUCACAUUUUCUGAUAACCAAUAUAAUAAUUUAUGCAAAACAAGAACACUAAUAACACUAUCCAAUCCUCUCAUUUAUUGAUAACAAUGUACAGAAUUUCAGCAAAGACAAGAACACUAAUAACACUAUCAAUCCUCAUCAUUUCUUCCUUGAUAACAAUAACAAAAUUCAGCAAAACAAGAAACACUAAUAACACUAUCAAUCUUCUCAUUUCUUGAUAACAAUAUACAAAAUUUCAGCAAAACAAGAACACUAUAACACUAUCAAUCCUCUAUUUCUUGAUAAACACAUACAAAAUUUAGCAAACAAAACAUUACUCAAGCAUUAAUCAAUCUUCUCAUUUCUUGAUAACAAACAAAAUUAGCAAAACAAGACACUACUAAUAACCUUUCAAUCUUCUCAUUUCUUGAUAACAAUAUACAAAUUUAGCAAAACAAGACACUAAUAACACUAUCAAUCUUCUCAUUUCUUGAUAACAAAUACAAAAUUUAGCAAAAGAAGAACACUAAAUACACUAUCAAUCUUCUCAUUUCUUGAUACAAUAUACAAAAUUUAGCAAAACAAGAACACUAAUAACAAUUCAUCCUCUCAUUUCUUUGAUAACAAAUACAAAAUUUAGCAAAAACAAGAGAACACUAUAACACUAUCAAUCCUCUCAUUUCUUGAUAACAAUAUACAAAAUUUCAGCAAAACAAGAACCCUAAUACACAUUCAAUCUUCUCAUUCUCUUAUAAACAAUAUACAAAAUUCAGCAAAACAAGAACACUAAUAACACUAUCAAUCCUCUCAUUUCUGAUAACAAUAUACAAAAUUUAGCAAAACAAGAACACUUAAUAACACUAUCAAUCGUUCUCAUUUUGAUAACAAUAUACAAAUUUAGCAACAAAACAAGAACACUAAUAAACAUUAUCAAUCCUCUCAUUCUUUGAUGAACAAUAUACAAAAUUUAGCAAAACAAGAACACUAAUAAACACUAUCAAUCCUCUCAUUUCUUGAAACAAAUAUACAAAAUUCAGCAAAACAAGAACCCUAAUAACACUAUCAAGCUUCUCAUUUCUUGAUAACCAAUAUACAAAAAAUUCAGCAAAACAAGAACACUAAUAACACUAUCAAUCCUCUCAUUUCUUGUAACAAUAUACAAAUUAGCAAAACAAGCAACGAUUAUAACAGUUAUCAAUCUACUCAUUCUUGAUAACAAUAUACAAAAAGUUAGCGAAAACAAGGACACUAAUAACACUAUCAAUAUCUCAUUUCUUUAAUAAUAGAAUAUACAAAAUUAGCCAAACAAGACCCCUAAUAACCACUAUUCAAUCUUCUCAUUCUUGAUAACAAUAUCAAAUUUAGCCGAAAAACAAAGAACACUAAUUACACUAUCAAUCUUUCUCAUUUCUUGAUAAAAACAUACAAAAUUUAGCAAAACAAAGACAUAUAACACUAUUCAUCUUCACAUUCUUAUACAAUAUACCAAUUUAGCAAAACCAAGAAACACUAAAUAACACUAUCAAUCAAACAAGAACACUAAAACACUGAUAAUCUUCUCAUUUCUUAAUAACAAUAUACAAAUUCUAGCAAACAAGACACUAAUAACAUAUCAAUCUUCUCAUUUCUUUAUAAACAAUAUACAAAAUUUAGCAACAAGGAACAUUAAUAACAUAUAAUCUUCUUCAUUUCUGCUAAACAAUAUACAAAAUUUAGCGCAAACAGAACAGCUAAUAACACUUAUCCAAUACUUCUCAUUCUCUAAAUAACCAAUAUAAAAUUUAAACAAACAAGAAUAAUAACACAUAUCAAUCUUCUAUUCUUGAUAACAAUAGAUACAAAUUUGCAAAACAAGAACACAAAUCACUAUCAAUCUCUCAUUCUAUAUGAUAACAAUAUACAUAAAUUUAGCAACAAGAAACAUAUCAACUAUCAUCUCUAUUUCUAUAAACAAUAGAAAAUUUAGCAAAACAAGAACCUAAUAACACUAACAUCCUUCUCAUUUCUGGAUAACAAUAUACAAAUUUAGCAAACAAGAACACUAUCACCAUUAUCAAUCUCUUCAUCUUCUGAUACUUACAUAUUUGCCAAAAGACCAAUGACACAAUAUCUCACAUAAAACGUCAAUUUACAACCGAACACUAAUAACUAUAUCAUCUGUAAAACAAUCUAUAUUACAAAAUGUAACUCCUCUUCUCGAUCAAUUUCAAAUUGAAACGAAAACCUAAUACAUUAUAAUUUCAUUUAUAUCAAGCAAAACAAGAACUUAAAUACAUCUAUCACAGUUCUCUCAUUUUUAUUAACAAUAUACAAAAUUUAGCCAACAAGACACUAUAUAACGCCUCUCUACUAUCAAUAUAAAUCGCAACAAGUAUCUGCAAUUUCUUAUCUAUAACCAUAUACAAUUAGCAAACAAAGAAACAUUAAACAUCUAUCAAUCUUCUCAUUCUUGAUAACGAAUAUACAAAAUUUUAGCGAAAACAAGAAACACUAAUAACACUAUCAAUCUUCUAUUUACUUAGAUAACAAUACACAAAAUUUUAGCAAAACAAGAACACAACAACUAUCAUCUUCUCAUUUUAUAUAACAAUAUACCAAACAUUAGCAAAAAAGAACAUACUAAAACACAUUAUCAUUCCUUCUCAUUUCUUUGAUAACAAUUAUACAAAAUUCAGCCAAAGACAGAGAACCAUAAAACAUAGUCAAUCUUCUCAUUUCUUAAUAACAAAUAGCAAAUUUUAGCAAAACAAGGAACACUAAAUCAAAACACUAAUCAAUUUUCCAAUCUUCAUUUCUUGAUACCAAUAUACAAAAUUUAGCAAAACAAGAACACUAAUAACACUGUCAAUCUUCUCAUUCCUUGAUAACAAUAUACAAAAUUUAGCAAAACAAGAACACUAAUAACACUAUCAAUCCUCUCAUUUCUUAAUAACAAAAUAGAAAAUUUAGCAAAACAAGAACAUUAAUAACACUAUCAAUCUUCUCAUUUCUUGAUAACAAUAUACAAAAUUUAUCAAAACAAGAACACUAAUAACACUAUCAAUCCUCUCAUUUCUUGAUAACAAUAUACAAAAUUCAGCAAAACAAGAACACUAAUAACACUAUCAAUCUUCUCAUUUCUUGAUAACAACAUACAAAAUUUAGCAAAAGAAGAACACUAAUAACACUAUCAAUCUUCAUAUUUCUUGAUAACAAUAUACAUAAUUUAGCAAAACAAGAACACUAAUAACACUAUCAAUCUUCUCAUUUCUUAAUAACAAAAUAGAAAAUUUAGCAAAACAAGAACACUAAUAACACUAUCAAUCUUCUCAUUUCUUGAUAACAAUAUAAUACUAUCAAUAUCUUCUCGAUUCGGGUUUUGUAGGAUAACAAUAUUAAAAUUUUUAAAAGAAGAAAAAAAAAAAAAAAAAGAAAGAAGAAAAAAACAAGAGAAAAGCACGAGCUCAUAACAUAAUCGAGAUCUGCUUCAUUUUCUUCCGAUAACGAAUAUACAAAAGUUUAGCCCCACCCCCCGCCGCCGCACGCCCACGCCCAGCCACCCCACCACGCCCCCGCCACACACCCCCCAAGCCCCAAAACCUAGAACGACUAACAUAAACACUAUCAAUCUUCUCAUUUUCUUGAAACAUAUACAAGAAUUUAGCCAAAAAAACAAGAACCAACGUAAUAAAAAACUAUCAGGUCUUUCAAUUUCUUUAAAAAUAACAAUAUACAAAAAUUUUAGGCAAAACACAAAGAACACAAUAACACUAUCAAUGUCUUCUCGAUUUCUUUGAUUAACAAUAUACAAAAGUGUUAGCAAAACAAAGAAACACAAAAACACGGUAUUCAAUCUUCUCCAGUUCCUGAAUAACAAUAUUACCAAAUUUCUAGCAAAAAACAGAAACCAUAAUAACACAUUCAAUCUUCUCAUUUCUGAUGAACAAAUAUGACAAAAAUUAUAGCCAAACACUAAAACACUAAUAACCACUUCAAUUCUUUCUCAGUUUCUUAAAUUACGAAUAUAGAAAAGUUUAGCAAAGAUAAUUAACACUAAUAACACUAUCAAUCUUCUCAUUCCUUGAUAACAAUAUACCAAAAUUUAGCAAAACAAGAACACUAAUAAACCUAAUUCAAUCUCUAAUUCUUUUGUGACAAUAUAAAAAUUUAGCAAAACGAGAACACUAAUAACGACUAUCGAAUCUUCUCAUUUCUUGAUAACAAUUAUACAGAAAUUUAGCAAAACAAGAAAAUACUAGUAAAACUAUUCAAUCUUCUCAUUUCUUGAACCAAUAUACAAAAAUUAUAGCAAAACAGAAACACUAAUAACACUAUCAACUUAUUCCAUCUUAAUAACAAUUAUACAAAAUUUACAAAAAACAGGAGAACAUAUAUAACACAUCAAUCUCUUCUCAUUUCUUGGAUAAAAUGUAGCAAAAUGUUGCAAAUAAGAACACUAUAACUACUAUCAAUCUUCUGAUUUCUUGAUAACAAUAUACCAAAAUUAAAACAAAACAAGACACUAAUAACACGUAUCAAUCUUCUCAUUUCUUGAUAAACAAUAUACAAAAAUUUAGGCAAGGUAAGCAGAACACUAAUAACACAUCAAUCUUCUCAUUUCUUGAUAAGCAAUGAUACAAAAUUUAAGCAAAAACAAGAACACUAAUAACACUAUCAAUCUUUCAUUUCAUAAUUACACUAGACACACUGAACAAUCAAUUCCAAUCUUAGCUACAAAAUUAGCAAAACAAAAUACACUAAUAACACUAUCUAAUCUUUUCAUUUUACGAUAAACAAUAUACAAAAGUUAGCAAAAAACAAGAACACUAAUAACACUAUUUCAAUCUUCCAUUUCUAAUAACAAUAUAGAAAAUUAGCAAACAAUAAUACACUAUACACUAGUCAAUGCUUCUCAUUUCUUGAUAACAAUAUAAAAAUUUAAAAAAAAAAACAAGAACACUAAUAACACUAUCAAUCUGUCUCAUUUCUUAAUAACAACUAUACAAAAUUAUAAAACUAAGAUCAUAAUAACACUAUCUAAUCUCUCAUCUUCUGGAUAACAAUAAUACAGAAAUUUAGCAAAACCAUGAUACACUAAAUAACACUAUCAAUCUUCCUCAUUUGCUUAAUAACAAUUAUACAAAAUUGCUCAGCAAACAAUGAAGACAACUAAUAACACUAUCAAUCUUCUCAUUCUUGAUAAAAUAUACAAACAAUUUUAGCAAGACUAAGAAACACUAAUAACACUUCGAAUCUUCUAUUCCUUGAUAACAUAUUACAAAAUUUAGCAAACGAAGAACACUAUCAACAUAUAUCUUCUCAUUUCUUUGCAUAAACAAUAUACAAAAGUUAGAAAACAAGCCAACACUUAAUAACACUACUCAAGUCUCUGCAUUUACUUGAUAACAAUAUUACCAAAAUUUCAGCCAAAACAAGAACACCUAAUAACACUAUCAAUGCUUCUCAUUUCUUAAUAACAAUAUUACAAAAUUAGACCAAAACCAAGAACACUUAGAUAGAGCACUAUUCAAUACUCUCUCAUUUCUCCUGGAUAACAAUUAUACAAAAAUUUAGCGAACAAGAACACUAUAAUAACACUAUCAAUCUUUCUUUCCCUUCAUAACAAUAUACAAAAAUUUAGCAAAACAAUGAACCAUCAAAUAACACUAUCAAUACUUCUCAUUUGGCUUCAAUAACAAUAUUACACAAAUUGUAACAACAAACAAGCAACAUCUAAGUACACAGGCUAUUCAAUCUUCUCAUUUCUCGUGAUUAAACAAUAUACAAAAAUUUGCAAAGCAAGAACCUAAUAAACUAUCAAUGCUUGUCUUCUUCAAUAGCAAAAUGAUCAAAAUAUUUAGAUAAAAACAAGAAUCACUAUAUAACACUAUCAAUCUAUACUCAUUUCAAUUCUAAAACUACAAAAAUCUUACGUAAAACAAGAAACACGAUCAUUAAUAACACUAUCCAACCUCUCAUUUGAUAACAAUAUAAAAUUGAAAAAACGAAAAUAAAACAUAUAAUUAGUCUGCAUUAUAACAACAUCAAAAUUUGCACAAACAAGAAACUAAACUAACCGAUCAAUCUUCUCAUUUCUUGAUAACAAUAUACAAAAUUUAGAAAAACACGAACACUAAUAACACUAUCAAUCUUCUCAUUCCUUGAUAAACAAUAUACAUAAACUUGCAAAACAAGAACACUAAUAACACUAUCAAUCUUCUCAUUUCUGUAUAAACAAAUACAAAAUUUAGAAAAACAAGAACACUAAUAACACUAUCAAUCUUCUCAUUUCUGAUAACAAUAUACAAAAGUUGCAAAACAGAACACUAAUAACACUAUUCAAUCUUUCUCAUUUCUUAAUACAAUAUAGAAAAUUUAGCGAAAUAAGAAACACUAAUAACACUAUCAAUCUUCUCAUUUCUUGAUAACAAUAUAACAAAAUUUAGCUAAACAAAGAAUUACUAAGUUAAAACUAUCACAUCCUCUCAUUUCUUGAUAACAAUAUACAAAAUAUUAAAGCAAAACAAGGAACACUUAUAACACUAUCAAUCUUCUUCAUUCUUGAUAACAAUAUACAAAAUUUAGAAAAACAAGAACACUAAUAACACUAUCAAUCUUCUCAUUUCUGAUAACUAUAUACAAAAAUUUAGCAAAACAAGAACACUAAUAACACUAUCAUUCUUCUCAUUUCUUAAUAACAAUAUAGAAAAUGUAGCAAAACCAAGAACUAAUAAAACACUAUCAAUCUUCUUCAUUUCUUAAUCAAUAUACAAANNNNNNNNNUACAAACAAUAUACAAAAUUUAGCAAACAAGAACACAAUACACUAUCAAUCUUCAUCUUUUGUACUAAAAUUUAGCAAAAAACAAGAACACUAAUAACACUAUAAUCCAUUCUCUCAUUUACAAUUAUUAACAAUAUACAAAAUUUUAACAGCAAAACAAGACUCUAAUAACAUAUCAAUCUUCCAUUUCUUGAUAAACAAUAUACAAAUUUAGCAAAACAAGAAACAUAAAACACUAUCAAUCUUCUCAAUUUCUGAUAACAAUAUAAAAUUUAGCAAACAAGAACACUAAUAACACUAUCAAUCUUCUCAUUUCUUGAUAACAAUAUACAAAAUUUAGCAAAACAGAACACUAAUAACACUAUCAAUCUUCUCAUUUCUUGAUAACAAUUAUACAAAUUGAGCAAAACAGAACACUAAUAACACUAUCAAAUCUUUUCUCAUUUCUUGAUAACAAUAUACAAAAAUUUAGCCAAACAAGAACACUAAUAAACACUAUCGAAUCUUCGUCAUUUCUGAUAACAAAUACAAAAUUUAGCAAAACAAGAACACUAAUAACACUAUUCAAUCUUCUCAUUUCUUUAAUAACAAUAUACAAAAUUUAAAAGAAACAACACUUUAAUAAACACUAUAUCAAUCUUCUCAUUUCUUGAUAACAAUUACAAAAUUAGCCAAACAAGAACACUAAUAACACUAUCAAUCUUCUCAUUUCGUUGAUAACAAUAUAAAAUUAGCAAAACAAGAACACUAAUAAACACUAUCAAACUUUUCUCAUUCUUUGAUAACAUAUACAAAAAUUUAGAAAACAAGAACACUAAUAACACUAUCAAUGCUUCUCUUUCUGAUAACAAUAUACAAAAAUUUAGCAAAACAAGAACACUAAUAACACUAUCAUCUUCUCAUUUCUUAUAGACAUAUACAAAUUUAGCCGAACUAAACGUACACGAAUCUGCUCAUUCCAUACAAAUAGAAAUACAAAACAAGAACACUAAUAACACUAUCAAUCUUCUUCAUUUCUUGAAUAACAAUAUACAAAAUUUAGCAAAACAAGAACACUAAUACACUAUCAAUCUUCUCUUUUCUAAAACAAUAUAAAAUUUAGCAAACAAGAACACUAAUAACACUAUCAAUCUUCUAUUUUUGAUAACAAUAUACAAAAUUUCAGCAUAAACAAGAAACUAAUAAACUAUCAAUCUCUCUUUCUUUAUAACAAUAACCAAAAUAUAGCAAAACAAUAACACUAAAACACUAUCAAUCUUCUCAUUUCUUGAUAACAAUAUACAAAAUUUAGCAGAAACAAGAACAUAAUAACACUAUCAAUCUUCUCAUUUCUGAAUAAACAAUAUAAAAAAAUUAGCAAAACAAGAACACUAAUAAUACUAUCAAUCUUUCUCAUUUCUUGAUAACAAUAUACAAAAAUUAGCAAACAAGAACACUAAUAACACUAUCAAUCUUCUCAUUUCUUAUAACAAAUAAAAAUUUAGCAAAACAAAACACGUAAUAACACUAUCAAUCUUCUCAUUCUUAAUAACAAUAUACAAAAAUUUAAAAAAACAAGACAUUAAUAAACAUAUCAAUCUCUCAUUUCUUGAUAACAAUAUACAAAAUUUGCAAAACAAGAACACUAAUAACACUAUCAAUCUUCUCAUUUCUUCGAUACAAUAUACAAAUUUAGGCAAAACAAGAACACUAAUAAACACUAUCAAUCUUCUCAUUUCUUGAUUACAAUAUAACAAAAUUUAGCAAAAACAAGAACACUAAUAACACUAUCAAUUUCUCAUUCUUGAUAACAAUAUACAAAAUUUAGCAAAACAAGAAACACUAAUAACCUAUCAAUCUUCUCAUUUCGUUGAUAACAAUAUACAAAAUUUAGCAAAAACAAGAACACUAAUAACACUAUCAAUCUUCUCAGUUUCUUGAUAACAAACAAUAUACAAAAUUUGGCAAAACAAGAACACUAAUAACACUAUCAAUCUUCUCAUUUCUUGAUAACAAUAUACAAAAUUUAGAAAAACAAGAACACUAAUAACACUAUCAAUCUUCUCAUUCCUUCAUAACAAUAUACAAAAUUUAGCAAAACAAGAACACUAAUAACACUAUCAAUCUUCUCAUUUCUUGAUAACAAUAUACAAAAUUUAGAAAAACAAGAACACUAAUAACACUAUCAAUCUUCUCAUUUCUGGAUAACAAUAUACAAAAUUUAGCAAAACAAGAACACUAAUAACACUAUCAAUCUUCUCAUUUCUUAAUAACAAUAUAGAAAAUUUAGCAAAACAAGAACACAAAUAACACUAUCAAUCUUCUCAUUUCUUGAUAACAAUAUAAAAAAUUUAGCUAAACAAGAAUACUAAUAAAACUAUCAAUCCUCUCAUUUCUUGAUAACAAUAUACAAAAUAUAGCAAAACAAUAACACUAAUAACACUAUCAAUAUUCUCAUUUCUUAAUAACAAUAUACAAAAUUUNNN
rnacentral:lncRNA from 1 species